UAGAUCAUUGAUGAGUACUCUGAGAUGUCCAAACCAAGGAUUUUGACUAACCCCUAUAACUCUGAGGUUUUU
rnacentral:snoRNA from 2 species